rnacentral:rRNA from 1 species
GACGAACGCUGGCGGCGUGCCUAACACAUGCAAGUCGAACGAAUUGGCGAACGGGUGAGUAACGCGUAAUUAACCUGCCCUUCAGAGGGGGUCAACACUUGGAAACGACUGCUAAUACCGCAUACUGAAGAAGGGGAUUGCGUCUGAUUAGCUAGUUGGAGGGGUCACGGCCAACCAAGGCGAAGAGCAGUAGCCGGGCUGAGGGGAUGAACCGCCACAGUGGGACUGGGGCACCGCCCAGACCCCUACGGGAGGCAACAGUGGGGGAUUUUCCGCAAUGGGCGGAAGGCUGGCGGAGGAACGCCGCGUGAGUGAUGACGGGCUUCGGGUUGUAAAGCUCUGUUAAUCGGGACGCGGUACCAGAAUAGAAAGCCACGGCUAACUACGUGCCAGCAGCCGCGAUAAUAC